GGGCUUUUGGAAUCUCCCUGAAACAGUGCUACUGUGCUGAUAUGCAGAAGUGACUGAUUCAGAGUAGAAAAUCCGCAGAAAUAGUUAUUAGCUAGAUUAAGGUGCGAAAGUAGGUCAAAGCUCCAAGGAAAUAUAAAUUGCAGUUUCCCAGCAGGGAAGACAUGGCAAAGCCGGACCAUUGCCCAAGUUAUAAGGACUUUGUCUGGUGAUGGCCCUCAGUACACACUGCACAAAUCUGUUGAAUGGACAAGCUGAGAUGCAGGAUGCAUUUUACCAGGGGAGACAACUGAAUUAGUCUGAUCCACAGUGAACUUGGAGAGUACAGUGAAAACGACAAAGGUGGCAGCCGGCUAGGCUGGGGCUGACCAACCCCAAAGUGGAGGAGGCAGAGGACCACACACCAUGAAAUGUAAACAGAGGAGCAAAUCCUAGAUGCCAGACUGGAAAAGAAGCAGGAGAGCUUCUUUCCAAACAGAGAUGCUGGAGUAUAAAACAAAACCAUGUUCAGAUCCCAGAUUACUUAACUGCCUUGCUGUCAUGAGAAUCAAUGUAUCUGCUGUCACAUUUUCUUGGGAGAAGGAAUGAAGAAGGAUGACCUUGAACUUCUGAUCCUUCAAACUCUACCUCCCAGAUACUGGAAAUGCAGUUGGGAAACAGGCAUGUGCCAUCACACCUCUCUGAUUUAUGCCAUUCUGGAAAAGGAUCCCUGGGCUUCAUGAAUGCUAGGUAAGCAUUCUACCAAUUAAGCUAUAUCUCCAGCCGGGAACAAGUAUUUUUAAUAUAUUGAACCUAUGGGUAUAGGUCAGUAGCAGAUUGUUUGUCUAGCAUGUAGACGGUCCUAGAUUUGAUUCCCAGUACUGGGGGCAGGGUGAGCGGUGGCUAGGCUAAUAAGAUAGGAUGAGACUCUUGUUUGGAUCUCAAAAUACAAGUUAAUAUGCAAAAUAAAUAAAAAAGCAUUAAGAAGAUCAUGAUGGCAAUGAUACAAAUAAUACCAAUAAAACCAAAACCAGUCAUUUUCAUGCUUCGUUUCACUUAGUCUUUAUAAAAAUCCAGUGACGUGUACAAUUUCAACUGUCUUGUAUAGAUGGAGAAGUUAAAGUACAAAAGUUUAAAUAACUUAGCAAUGCCAACCAGCAAGUGAGGAGGCUGUAAGGUGAAAAGGCUGUAACUGGGGCUCUUACUAAGCCUUCCUAAUACCAACCACAAGGUCUUUUUAAAGUCCUGUUAAUAAGGAAGGGCUUCCCUCACAGUGUGCUUUUCCAGGAAUUGAUUUACAUUCUAGAAAACAGCGUAGUGUGUAAUAACAAACUACUGAAUGGAAUGGUACCUACAACCAUUUGAGUUAUGCCAUGUCUCCUGACUUGUUACUUUCUAUCUAGCAAGAAAUUCAACACAAAAAUAGUUUUAAAACUGAUAAGGAAAACUUGUUCUAAUACUAUAAAGGCUUUAGUCUCUAUGAUUUUACUGUUAACAUGGUUACAAACAGAUGAAAAUAAAAUCUCUACACAGUAAACACAUUUUGAUACAUAUUUAAUACAUCCUAUAUAUAAUCAGGCAGUCACUUUAAAAUGAUGUUAUUAAAAAGUAUUUAAUUAGGAUUAGGAGUGUAACACAAAGGUGAGAGCACUUGCCUUCAUGUUCAAUUCUCAGAACAAAAAAAAAUGUUUUAAGGAUAUGGAAAUAUAUUAAUAUC